ensembl:lncRNA
CCCUCCUCCACUUUAGCCCUCAGAACAUCCUCAACUUGUCAGGUCGUGGACUCUACAAGGUGUUGAAAGUGUUCCACAGGGUCUCUACAAGGUGUUGAAAGCCUUCCACAGGGACUCUACAAGGUGUUGAAAGCCUUCCACAGGGACUCUACAAGGUGUUAAAAGCCUUCCACAGGGACUCUACAAGGUGUUGAAAGCCUUCCACAGGGACUCUACAAGGUGUUGAAAGCCUUCCACAGGGACUCUACAAGGUGUUGAAAGCCUUCCACAGGGACUCUACAAGGUGUUGAAAGCCUUCCACAGGGUCUCUACAAGGUGUUGAAAGCCUUCCACAGGGACUCUACAAGGUGUUGAAAGCCUUCCACAGGGAUACUGGUCCAUGUUGACUCCAAUACUUCCCACAGUUGUGUCAAGUUGGCUGGAUGUCCUUUGGGUGGUGGACCAUACUUGAUACACACAGGGAAACUGUUCAGCGUGAAAACUCCAGCAGCGUUGCAGUUCUUGACACACCCCAUUUAAAAGGCACUUAAAUAUUGAUUUCUUGCCCGUUCACCCUCUGAAUGGCACACGAACACAAUCCAUGUCUCAAUUGUCUCAACUCUUAAAAAGACCUUUCACCUGACUCCUCCCCUUCAUCUACACUGAUUGAAGUGGAUUUAACAAGGUACAUCAAUAAGGGAUCAUAGCUUUCACCUGGAUUCACCUGGUCAGUCUAUGUCAUGGAAAGAGUAGGUGUUCCUAAUGUUUUGUCCACUCAGUAUAUCUGUGCUUGGUAUUGUUGUAUACGACUGUUAUGUCUGACUCCUACGGG